ACCGGAGCAGCGGGACAGCAUCGGGAGCCCCUGGGACAGCAUCGGGAGCGAUGAGGACGCGGUCCGGAGCGGCGGGGACAGGUGAGUAUAACUUCCUAUACUUUACAUUGCACGGAUCCCUCAACAUACAAUGGAUUCGACAAACGAUGGGUCGUUUGGAACGAAUUACCAUCGUAUGUUGAGGGACCACUGUAUAUACAUAUAUAUAAUGGGAACUUCAUUUCUUUUCUAUUGACAAUCCGCCCCGGGAGGAAGUAAGUAAAAGUAAAUAACCCACUCUUUCUUUCCUUGUUCCCGUGUGGCCACUGGGAUCACAGAACUCCUGAUGACUGGCGCAACUCAUCCAAUCAGCAGCUGAGGUGGGACAUCGUUGUUGCCACUGAUUGUAUUAGCAGAUAUGUGACAUCACAUCACCGAACCCGCAAUCGCUUGUCAGUGGGUACCAGAGUCUGGCUGCUGCGCAGGAGCGAGCAGGGCCCAUGGACAUAGACAACAAUGGACAGGACCUUUCAGAUGACUUGGAAGUUGCCUUCAAGCUAUCUCUAAAGAACCACCAACAUGCAUUUCUUUGUAACAUAAGAAAUGAAAGAACAGAAAUGUGCAACAAUUAGUUCAUGAAUAUGUAAAGAAUAUGACCUGUGAACAUUAUUGUUAACUGAG